AUUUUAGAUUGAUAACAUAUCUCAACCAACGGGAAGAAAACAAGGACAGAUGGGUCGGUGCACUUUUGGAAACGAAACUUCCAGUUCACAUGAUUUAUGGGCCAUCUGAUCCAGUUAACAGUGGAUACGCCUUCGUUGAUCAUUACAAGAAAGUAGUACCAUCCCCAAGUAUAACUGUACUAGACGCGGCGAUAGGACACUAUCCCCAGUGGGAGGAUCCCAAUGGCGUCUUCGAAUCCUACAAGUUCUUCUUGCAGUCCAUCAAAAAUCCUUAAAUUAUCAACCCAGGGUUAUCAAAAACCUUUAAUCAUUCCACCAGUGCAUAAAAUAAAAUUCUUUCCACCAGUCCAUAAAAAGCCUUGAACUCUCUCCCCAGGUAAUAAAAAUGAUCUUGAACUUUCUUCUCCAGUCCAUUGAAAAGUCUUUUAAUAUUCCUCAUAUAUUCAAUCGAUCAAUCAUAAUGUCCAUGGCCUUGGAAUACUCGAAAUAUUUGAACGACGUGAAUACAUUUUAAAUUUUCAUAAAAAUGAAAAACAAUCAACUAUUUAAAAAAGGGCUUUGAAAUAUUUUAAAACUUAAAAAUUCGAGCAAAAGAAAGCCACCUUCGUAUUAUCAAUAUUUCCAAUCUCCUUUGAAGCAUAUUACUUUACCCAUAUCUAUUAAAUUCUUGCAUAAAUUCAUGAAAAGUCCUUAAAGGACAAAAGCCAGUAA